CUGCAGCCUGAUUUACUAUCAGUAGUAGAAGAAGGGGUGAAAGGCAGGCAGUCUAGAGUUAGUACUGGAGGAAUAACGUGUGAUGCAGGCAGGUCUAGUAUUAGCCCUAGAGGAAUAAUGUGUGAUGCAGACAUGUCUACUGUGAGCCCUAGAGGAGUAAUGUGUGAUGCAGGCAGGUCUAGUGUUAGCCCUGAAAGAAUAACGUGUGAUGCAGGCAGGUCUAGUGUUAUUCAUGAAAGAGUAACGUGUGAUGCAGGCAGGUCUAGUGUUAUUCAUGAAAGAGUAACGUGUGAUACAGGCAGAUCUAGUGUUAGCCCUGAAAGAGUAACGUGUGAUGCAGGCAAGUCUAGUCUUAGCCCUGGAAGAAUAAUGUGUGAUGCAGGUAGGUCUAGUUUUA